rnacentral:rRNA from 1 species
CAGCAGCCGCGGGAAUACGUAGGUGGCAAGCGUUGUCCGGAAUUAUUGGGCGUAAAGCGAGCGCAGGCGGUUAGAUAAGUCUGAAGUUAAAGGCUGUGGCUUAACCAUAGUACGCUUUGGAAACUGUUUAACUUGAGUGCAAGAGGGGAGAGUGGAAUUCCAUGUGUAGCGGUGAAAUGCGUAGAUAUAUGGAGGAACACCGGUGGCGGAAGCGGCUCUCUGGCUUGUAACUGACGCUGAGGUUCGAAAGCGUGGGGAGCAAACAGGAUUAGAUACCCGCGUAGUCCCUGUCUCUUAUACA